GAAGUCACUGCCUGUGCCUUGGGUACUAUGGGGAAGGGCCGCGCCUAGUACCAGCAGCCGGCCGUGUUGUUGACAAGUGAUAGUUCUUCGUCAUGUCUUUUUCAUUGGAAUUUUCAUGUCUUCUCAGCACACUCUAUGGCAAAAGGAUCUGCAUACAUAGAGCAAGGAAAGAGAACAUUGAUUUGUGACGUGUGUAUGGUCCACGUGAAGUCUUUUCAUUGGAAUUUUCAUGUCUUCUCAGCACACUUGCAAAAGGAUCUGCAUACAUAGAGCAAGGGAAGUUGUGUGUAUGGUCCACGUGAAGUACAGAAGAAAUCUGACUUCAGUCUUAAUGGCCAGCUCUUCUGUGAAUUAUCAUUUGCUCCAUUUUUGUGCCAAAAGAUACGUGGACAUCAACAAGACAAUGAAGAGCUUGUGUUGAGUGGUUUACUCAGAGAAGCUUCGGAAGCAGCAGUUUGUCUUACACCAAUAGCUGGAAGCAGCUCUUCUGGUUUUUCAAAUUCAAAUCUUCCAAUUGCCAUACACCCACUACUUCAUAACUUCAUAAUCAGCCGAUGAAGUGGAUUGACUCUUUGAUUGACUCUUGGAUUGACUACAGAUGUUCUGAUUCGUACUGUUGGUUUUUGAAGCUAUUCCAUCCACACCAAAACCUUCCUUCGAGCAACUUGAAAACAAAAUUAAAAAUACUGGAGAGUUCAGUUUAAUAUUUGUAUUGAAUAAAUUGGUUCAUGCAUUACA